CGUAGAGGAACUUGCCCAUGAGCGGGGGACAACAUUCGGAAACGGAUGCUAAUACCCCAUAGGUGGAUUGGUCGCAUGACGAAUUCAUUAAAGGUGGCUUUGCUACCACUCAUGGAUAGCCUCGCGGCGUAUUAGCUAGUUGGUAAGGUAAUGGCUUACCAAGGCAGUGAUACGUAGCCGACUUGAGAGGGUGAUCGGCCACACUGGGACUGAGACACGGCCCAG
rnacentral:rRNA from 1 species